rnacentral:tRNA from 1 species
UCCCUGGUGGCUCAGAUGGUAAAGAAUCUGGCUGCAGUGCAGGAGACCCAGGUUCAAUCCCUGGGUUGGGAA